UACGUAGGUGGCAAGCGUUGUUCGGAAUUACUGGGCGUAAAGCGCACGUAGGCGGCUUGGUAAGUUAGAGGUGAAAGCCUGGAGCUCAACUCCAGAAUUGCCUUUAAGACUGCCGAGCUAGCAGGUGAGAGAGGUGAGUGGAAUUCCGAGUGUAGAGGUGAAAUUCGUAGAUAUUCGGAAGAACACCAGUGGCGAAGGCGGCUCACUGGCUCAUACUGGACGCUGAGGUGCGAAAGCGUGGGGAGCAAACAGG
rnacentral:rRNA from 1 species